rnacentral:rRNA from 1 species
AACGAACGCUGGCGGCAUGCCUAACACAUGCAAGUCGAACGAGACCUUCGGGUCUAGUGGCGCACGGGUGCGUAACGCGUGGGAACCUGCCCUUAGGUUCGGAUUAACUCCCCGAAAGGGGUGCUAAUACCGGAUAAUGUCUUCGGACCAAAGAUUUAUCGCCUUUGGAUGGGCCCGCGUUGGAUUAGCUAGUUGGUAGGGUAAAAGCCUACCAAGGCGACGAUCCAUAGCUGGUCUGAGAGGAUGAUCAGCCACACUGGGACUGAGACACGGCCCAGACUCCUACGGGAGGCAGCAGUGGGGAAUAUUGGACAAUGGGCGAAAGCCUGAUCCAGCAAUGCCGCGUGAGUGAUGAAGGCGUUAGGGUUGUAAAGCUCUUUUACCCGGGAUGAUAAUGACGGUACCGGGAGAAUAAGCGCCGGCUAACUACGUG